CUCCUGGCUCUGUGUCCUGCCAUUCUCGUCUCUGUGCUCAGAGCUCUCAAGCACCCACGAUGGCCUUCUCAGGCCGAGCGCGCCCCUGCGUUAUCCCAGAGAACAAAGAAAUCCCCCGAGCAGCCCUUAACAGUGUCCACGAGGCCAAUGGGACCGAGGACGAGAGGGCUGUUUCCAGACUGCAGCGCAGGCACAGUGACGUGAAAGUCUACAAGGAGUUCUGUGACUUUUAUGCGAAAUUCAACAUGGCCAAUGCCCUGGCCAACACCACUUGCGAGCGCUGCAAGGGUGGCUUUGCGCCCGCUGAGAAGAUCGUGAACAGUAACGGGGAGCUGUACCCAUGAGCAGUGUUCUGUGUGCGCUCAGUGCUUCCAGCAGUUCCCAGAAGGACUCUUCUAUGAGUUUGAAGGAAGAAAGUACUGUGAACAUGACUUUCAGAUGCUCUUUGCCCCUUGCUGUCAUCAGUGUGGUAAGUUUUACUGCUAAAUGUCAAGUAAAAAGUAAGUUUCCGGCCAGGCGCGGUGGCUCACACCUGUAAUCCUAGCACUUUGGGAGGCGGAGGGAGGAGGAUCACCUGAGGUCAGGAAUUCGAGACCAGCCUGGGCAACAUAGGGAGACUUGUCUCU
rnacentral:sRNA from 1 species